UACGGAGGGGGCUAGCGUUGUUCGGAAUUACUGGGCGUAAAGCGCACGUAGGCGGCUUUGUAAGUUAGAGGUGAAAGCCCAGGGCUUAACCCUGGAAUUGCCUUUAAGACUGCAUCGCUAGAAUCGUGGAGAGGUGAGUGGAAUUCCGAGUGUAGAGGUGAAAUUCGUAGAUAUUCGGAAGAACACCAGUGGCGAAGGCGGACUCACUGGACAC
rnacentral:rRNA from 1 species